rnacentral:tRNA from 1 species
UUCCUUCUGGCUCAGCUGGUAAAGAAUCCGCCUGCAAUGCGGGAGACCUGGGUUCAAUCCCUGGGUUGGGAA